GAUGAAGAACGUAGCGAAAUGCGAUAAGUAGUGUGAAUUGCAGAAUUCAGUGAAUCAUCGAAUCUUUGAACGCACAUUGCGCCCUUUGGUAUUCCUUAGGGCAUGCCUGUUCGAGCGUCAUUUAAACCUUCAAGCUCAGCUUGGUGUUGGGUGACUGUCCGCCGCCUCCGGGCGCGUGGACUCGCCUCAAAAUUAUUGGCGGCCGGUACAUUGGCUUCGAGCGCUGCAGAAACGCGAACUCGGGCCCGUCGUAUUGGCUCCCAGAAGCUAUCUUCACAAUUUUGACCUCGGAUCAGGUAGGGAUACCCGCUGAACUUAAGCAUAUCAAUAAGCGGAGGA
rnacentral:misc_RNA from 1 species